rnacentral:rRNA from 1 species
CCCUACGGGGGGCAGCAGUAGGGAAUUUUCGUCAAUGGGCGCGAGCCUGAACGAGCAAUGCCGCGUGAACGAGGAAGGUCUUCGGAUCGUAAAGUUCUUUUGAAGGGGAAAAAGAGCGGAGAGAGGAAAUGGUCUCCGAUUGAUAUUACCCUUCGAGGAAGUCACGGCUAACUACGUGCCAGCAGCCGCGGUAAUACGUAGGUGGCGAGCGUUAUCCGGAAUGAUUGGGCGUAAAGGGUGCGUAGGCGGCCUGCUAAGUCUGGAGUGAAAGGUACCGGCUCAACCGGGACAGGCUCUGGAAACUG